rnacentral:tRNA from 1 species
AGGAGUGUAGCUCAAAUUGGUAGAGUUCCGGUCUCCAAAACCGGCGGUUUAGGGGUUCGAGCCCCUUCACUCCUG